rnacentral:rRNA from 1 species
AUUGAACGCUGGCGGCAGGCCUAACACAUGCAAGUCGAGCGAGCGGCGGACGGGUGAGUAAUGUCUGGGAAACUGCCUGAUGGUGGGGGAUAACUACUGGAAACGGUAGCUAAUACCGCAUACCAUCAGAUGUGCCCAGGUGUGAUGGGCUAGUAGGUGGGGUGAUGGCUCACCUAGGCGACGAUCCCUAGCUGGUCUGCGAGGAUGACCAGCCACACUGGAACUGAGACACGGUCCAGACGCCUACGGGAGGCAGCAGGGGGGAAGUUUGCGCAAUGGGCGAAAGCCUGAUGCAGCCAUGCAGCGUGUGUGAGGAAGGCAUUAGGGUUGUAGAGUACUUUCAGCGGGGAGGCGGUACCCGCAGAAGAAGCACCGGCUAACUCCGUGCCAGCAGCCGCGGUAAUAC